GACAGGCCCGCGUAGAAAGACGUCUUCCCGGGAAGAGGUGGAGGGUGUCCCCAGCACGGGAAAUCUCUUUGCGGAGCCUCCUGACGCAGCGUGCAAGACAGGACGGUUAUGGAUUCUGAGACAAGACUGCCGCGCCGGCUGUACGGGUGAGCUCGGGUUGGGCAUUCACCGCUUGUCCCUGUAAACGCUACGUCAUGUGUCACAUCCCGCCCCUCUCCUAUAGGAGGCAGUGUGGGCGGGGGAGGGCGUGUCUGUGGCAGUCACGCCCCUCCUCCCGGUCAAGUUCAAGUAUUUGUGUUGAAAGUUUUUACUGGGCUUGCGUCCUCGCCUCAAGGAGCCGCAGCACUCGCUGUGAACACAAAGGGCAUCACCCGAGCAGGUCUGCAGAGCGGCGUGGUUCAUGGGCAACCAAGGUGCCUCGAAAAGGUGAAGUCGUGUCGCCUGGAACUGAGCCCUGACCCCUGCUCGGCUUGGAAUGGGCAUGGAAGUGGCAGAGUUCUUAUCCCAGAUCAGCUCCCAGUUUUCCAGCCCCCACCCCAUCACGAAAGGUACCAGCCUGUCAUCAUGAAAACACUAAGGCUCGGGGACUCAGGUCUGGCCCACGCAUCCAGUCAGGAGCUAGCUGGGAUCUUCUCACAGGUGGAUUGAUGGUGUCUCUGGGCUCUCUGUUCUGUUUCACUGGACUCUUGACUCUUCUGCCAGUGCCACAGUGCCUUGGUGACUGAAAUCUUCAUCGUAACUUUUUAAAACGUCCUAUAUUGAUAUUUACUUAGUUUACGGUUACAAAGUGUCUUUCCUGAAUAUGAUUUUAUAUGCUGCACACAUGCAGUACCCAUGGAGGCCAGAAGAGGGCGCUGGAUCCCCACGGAACUGGAGAUACAGAGGGUUGUGAGUCAUCCUGUGGGUGCUGGGCACCGGACCCAGCUCCUGUACAAGAGCAGCAGCUCUUAGCCAGUGAGCCAUCUCUCCAGCCACCUCAUUCCAC
rnacentral:lncRNA from 1 species